rnacentral:rRNA from 1 species
CAAUAGCGUAUAUUUAAGUUGUUGUAGUUAAAAAGCUCGUAGUUGGAUUUCUGCUGAUCGCUGUCGGUCUGCCGUCAGGUGUGUACUGGCAGUGUUUGGCAUCUAUUCGAGAUUGGGUGUCCACUUGAUUGUGUGCACUCGAUGUCGGAGCUAAUACUUUGAGAAAAUUAGAGUGUUCCACGCAGGCGCGUGCCUUGAAUACUGCAGCAUGGGAUAUUGGAAGGCCGAUUGAGCUUUCUUGUUGGUUCUCGGUUUGAUCGGAAUGAUUAAUAGGGAUAGUUGGGGGCAUUCGUAUUCAACUGUCAGAGGUGAAAUUCUUGGAUUUGUUGAAGACGGACUACUGCGAAAGCAUCUGCCAUGGAUGUUCUCAUUGA